UCUACAGUGCAGUUCACACACGCAUGGCUGCUCUGGCCAAGGGCAUCAUGACAUAAACUGGGCGACUGCUUCUCUCUCAGACAGAAGAUGGUGAUUCCGUGCAUGGCAGCUUGUACAAUAAAUUGGUUUAUCAUGGAUUGCCAAUAUUCCAGAAUUUUCCAAGGGAUGAUGAUCAGUAGCAUUUGGAAGGGAAAAUUGAUCUGAGCCCCAGAUCCAGGAGUCACGUGCAGAAUCUGAAGUAGGAGCUGCCUGAAGGAGAGCCAGCUGCUGCCCUGGAGAUUGCAAAGGGGAUCCCUGCAGAUACGCAGCCUGGAGCAGACGGGACAGCAGAGACUGCACAGCCAGACCCACCAUUCUGUGCUCACAGUCUGUGUCUAGCUGGGGUAGGGAGGAGGGCUGUGUGCUGUACCUUGUGCCAGGCCUGGGCAAGGGGGUUUGCAUAACCCCGGCCCGAGAUCCUCCCCUGGGUCUGCUCAGGGCUGUGCCAGAGUUAGAGAAAAGUGUUGUUCUAUUGCUAAGUGUGGUGCUUGUUCCAGGGGCUAAGCCUGAGCCCUAGAAGGAAGGGUGGGUGUUUCUGCAGAGGUGCAUGGCUGGGCCCCCUGGGCCCCACUCCAGACUGUGAGAGCCCCCCCAUGUGACAAGUGGCCUGACAAACAGGAUUGGUGGAGUUUAGGCAAAGAGCCCUGGGGACAAUGGCUGAGCAGGGGUGGCAAGUUUAUGUAAUUUUUUGUGGUGCCCAGAAUGGGUCCAACCCAGGAGAGGGGUUUGGGGUGUGAGAGGGGCUCAGGGCUGAGGCAGAGGGUUGGGGUGCAGGGGAGUGAGGGCUCU